rnacentral:lncRNA from 1 species
GAAAGGGAGGAAGUUUCUCCGUUUCUGAUUAUGCGCAGAGUUUCCUUGUACUGAGCUUAUGUUCUCCACCCACUACUUAGUAAGAACUCCUUAACAACUUAAAGCUUUAUCCCUCUGAGUACCAGAAAAGUGAUUUGAGUAGUUAUUGAGCAGGGAGAAUAAACUGCUUGCUCCAGGCAGGGAGAAAGCUUAUGGAAAUGAUAUUAGACCUUCAGCAAAGUGCACAGCUGCAUCAUACAGAAGCCGAGACUCAAAUUGACAGGCAAAUAAGCCAGAUCACGGAAGGGGCCUCUGUGUGGCAGCUCUGAGCUCCCAAGUGUUGGACAACUAGGCAAAAAGUGCACUGGAACAGGGCAGAAAAUAGCACACUAACGUCAGGCAACUGUUGCAUUUUCAUGGCCUGGAAAGUAGCGUUUUCUGUAGAUGUCAGCUUCUGUCUGGUGUGAUGCUCCAUUCUUCUGGUGAUGUCACGUGCAGCACUGAGUAAUACUGGAAAACUGAAGAGGUCUCUUAGAAUAAGGAACAAUAAUGAGACUAUUUCAAAGAGGAUGAACAUAUUUAUGUGUACUGAUGGGGCUUUUCAUUCUUAGCUAGUUCCAAGGAUGUCUAUUUUAUGUAUGAAAUACUCAUUUUUUAAAAAAGCAAAUUGUCCAAAAAUAAAUUGACCAAAAAAAGCUAAUGAGAGGGCUGU